rnacentral:lncRNA from 1 species
CCUGCCCAAGUAACAGAAGGACAAAGGUCCUUCUGGACCUUUGGACAAAGGCCUUGGACAAAGGCCCAAGUAACCCAUCCAGAAGCCGCAUCCCUCGGGCGGGCCUCGGGCGUGUAGUGUCGGUGCCCAGGCUUCUCUUCGCGGUGACAUCAGCGGCGGCCGCACCCUCGCCUGAAGCAGCGUACAGAUAUCUCUUCCGCUUGGGACCUCGCUUCUGUGGUAGGGAUUGAGCCAGGGACUUGCACUCCUGGAGCAGGACAGUCACUACGUAACCAGGGAGGACACAAGGCAAGUUGCCCCAGCCCCCCGGGACAAGGAGAGCGGGAAUGGGGGGAGCGGGGCAGCCGCAGGCCCAGCCACACCCUGUGGCCUGUGCAGGGAAGGGGAGGAGGCCUUCCCGCCCUCUCAGUCCGCGGGCUCCACGGCCCUGGGGACAGUCCUCACCCGGCUCUGCCUUCUCUCUCCCCGUGGUCUCCCAACAGCCUCUUAUGUUGUUGCUCUAGGCCAGUUGUCCCCUUCUCGGGACCUCUGGCUGGCGGGCGUGUGGCCAGCUUUCUGUCACUGACACAUGCUGAGAAUAACCUGAAGGAGCAGAGGUGUAUCUGGGCUCACCCUUCACGGGGCCGUGGGCCUGUGUGUGGCCAGGCGGGGACACCAGGCGGAGGACACGGGAGGAGGAAGGAUGGGGGAACAAGAGGCACCCUCCCGGCGACACCCGCUCCUGGCCGCCUCAGCCGUGAGCUCACUGGUGGUUAAGUUAAGGGUUCAUCCGUGGAUGAAUUCUGGCUUCACGGAGCAGUUAAGAGUCAGGGCUGACUGGAGGGGAGGCCUGGGGCGGACCACCACUGGGGCACCCCCGCCCGGCCCCCCUUUCUCUCUGCUGCCUAGGCGCCGUGAAAGAAGCCGCCUUUCCCACU